CUAUAGGUGCAAUUUUUGAAAUAUUGUUUUUUUUUACAGUUUAUCGUUUUUAAAAAAAAUCAAAAAUGAUUAGACGUCGACUGACUUCAUUAUCAUGUUUUUUCUUGCAACUUUUUGUCACGUUGAAAUGAACUUUUGGUCUUCAACUUUGUUUUCUACAACUUGAAGUCAAAACUCGGAACAGCAGAACUUGACGUUAACCUGACCAAAAAUACUUAACAGUAAAAGUUUUUGGAGAGAAAGUGGCACCAGAGUUUAUUUGAUAAAAUAAAAAAAAAUCAUUAUCAUUUUGAUAUCUUUGUACCGGAAAUGUAUAACGCAUUAGCACACCAGGUUAAAACAGCGAUUAUAAUUUAGGUGUUUAGGAAGAUUAAUUCCGUUAUAUGAACAAAGGAAUAAGUAGACACAUAUUCGGCAACGAUAUAAUCGACAACCAGCUGCAAAUUUUGCCACGUAUAAACUAUCUACUCUAUAUCUCAUGUGUUAAUAUUAAUACUCUAGUCUCUAGUAUACAGACUGUAGUUGUAGUUUGAAUCUAAACGACACAGGAUACACGGCGAAUAUAUACAGAACAAAGUUUCACCCCUCAUAUAUGUAUGAAAGGUAAGCCGAUUAUGUUAAUGUCCAUGAUUUUUGCGCUUUUUUUGGAAAGUAAGGGCUCGAUUUAAUCCCGCAUAUUCACAUCUAUCUAUAUAUACCAAAUACCUAUAAUUUGUAUUCUAUAUAUAUAACAAAAAAA